ACAAAUCCAGGAGUCUUUUCAACUGGCAACUGGAACGCCUGGGAGACAGAGUCACCCGUUCAACUGAAAAAAAGGGGACUGAAACAGGGAGCUAGGCCAGGAGAUUCCCCAGCGAAAAAACACCACAAGUCUCCAGUGGCUGUUUCAGCUGGCGCAGUGGG